rnacentral:rRNA from 1 species
AUUCCAGCUCCAAUAGCGUAUAUUAAAGUUGUUGCAGUUAAAAAGCUCGUAGUUGGAUUUGUGGUGUACUUCGGCGGCCCGUCACUAUGUGAUGGAGCUUGCUGAAGUCGCCAUCCUUGGGUGGAUCCUGUGUGGCAUUAAGUUGUCGUGCAGGGGAUGCCCAUCGUUUACUGUGAAAAAAUUAGAGUGUUCAAAGCAGGCUUAUGCCGUUGAAUAUAUUAGCAUGGAAUAAUAAGAUAGGACCUUGGUACUAUUUUGUUGGUUUGCGCACCAAGGUAAUGAUUAAUAGGGACAGUUGGGGGUAUUCGUAUUUCAUUGUCUGAGGUGAAAUUCUUGGAUUUUUGAAAGACGAACUACUGCGAAAGCAUUUACCAAGGAUGUUUUCAUCG